rnacentral:rRNA from 1 species
AUUGAACGCUGGCGGCAGGCCUAACACAUGCAAGUCGAACGGUAACAGGAAGAAGCUUGCUUCUUUGCUGACGAGUGGCGGACGGGUGAGUAAUGUCUGGGAAACUGCCUGAUGGAGGGGGAUAACUACUGGAAACGGUAGCUAAUACCGCAUAACGUCGCAAGACCAAAAAGGGGGACCUUCGGGCCUCUUGCCAUCGGAUGUGCCCAGAUGGGAUUAGCUAGUAGGUGGGGUAACGGCUCACCUAGGCGACGAUCCCUAGCUGGUCUGAGAGGAUGACCAGCCACACUGGAACUGAGACACGGUCCAGACUCCUACGGGAGGCAGCAGUGGGGAAUAUUGCACAAUGGGCGCAAGCCUGAUGCAGCCAUGCCGCGUGUAUGAAGAGGGCCUUCGGGUUGUAAAGUACUUUCAGCGGGGAGGAAGGGAGUAAAGUUAAUACCUUGGCUCAUUGACGUUACCCGCAGAAGAAGCACCGGCUAACUCCGUG